rnacentral:lncRNA from 1 species
AUGCGGCCAUCCGGCCGGUGCUGGGGCGCUGCCAGCACGGCUGAGCCCCCCCUCGUGCUGCUGGGGGCGAGGGGACGGAGUGUUGGGAUGCCAAGGCUCAAAGCCAUGCUGGAGGAGCGGGGAGAGCCAUCUGCUCUCGUUGUCCCCGUCCCUAUCGGGGUGUGGGGUCAGCCUGCCUCAGUUUCCCCAUGUGCUGAGCGGGGCGGUGUGGCUGGGGGGGCUCCGCCUCCCCCCCGGUGCAGACCUUGGGUGAUUUUUGGUGGCUUUGCUCUGGCUGGGGAGCCCGAGGGCUCCCCACGAGCUGCGGGGGGAGGAAGGUGUCGGGGCUGUGGCCGUGGCCACCCCCGGCUCUGUCACCCUGCGCCACCGCCGCCCUGGGGUCCACCGCCGAAGGCUCUGCUCGUCACCUCGCCACACGGCUGCUGGGGACGGGGGCGCAGGGCUGCCAGCUCCGGGCCCUGUCCCCGUCCCCGGGCAGCACCCGUCCCCGCGGUCCCCAGGAGGUGGCAGUGCGCUGUCGUGGGAGGCGGCUGCUGCGCACCCCGGGGACACGGGGACCUGGUGGCCGCUGGGGACAGGCCUCGCUGCCUCCCCUGGCAGGUGUCACCCCCAGCUCCCUGCCCAUGGCCACGGAGCGGUGCGGAGCCACCCCGGGGACCUGGCCCUGGCACAGGCAGGAGGGACGGGGCAGGAGUGCAGCAAUGGCCCCGUGUCCCUGCGGCCACCCCGCUCCCCUCCGGCUCCUGCCUCGGUGUCGCUUUGCUGGGACCCAGGACAGGUCUGUCCUGGGGGGGGGGGGGGCAAACCCCAAACCUGCCCGCCCAGCGGGGACAUCCCAACACUGGGGACACCCCAGCAGUCCCCAGCUGUGGCCAGGCCACGCAUGCAGACGGGGCAGGCAGCGGUGCCGUGGUGUCCCCCCAUCCGCCAGCAGCCCCAGAGCCGGCGUCCAGAGCCCUGGGGCGCUCCGUGCCAUGGGGCACCCUGCCCACGCCGCGACACCACGGGGCUGUCCCUGUCCCCAUCGCAGUGGGGCAGCUCCUGCCUUCAGUACGGGGGGCAGAGCCCCCCCCGUCCCCACUGCACGGGGCGGGCUGUGCUGCCGUGUGUACCCUAAACUUUGGGGAGGAACUAUUUAGGGAGGGGGGGCGCACCCUGCCUUGCACCCCGACCCCUGCCUUGGCACCCUUGGCACCCUGUCCCCUGCCCAUCCUCAGUGCAGACACUACAGCCACCCCCCUCCUUCUCACCGUUGCCACCCCAGGGUGGGGGGGACCCUCUUUCCCC